UACGGAGGGUGCAAGCGUUAUCCGGAUUCACUGGGUUUAAAGGGUGCGUAGGAGGGCAGGGAAGUCCGUGGUGAAAUCCUAGAGCUUAACUCUAGAACUGCCGUGGAUACUCUCUGUCUUGAAUCCCGUGGAGAUGAGCGGAAUAUGUCAUGUAGCGGUGAAAUGCUUAGAUAUGACAUAGAACACCAAUUGCGAAGGCAGCUCGUUACACGAAGAUUGACCCUGAGACGCGAAAGCGUGGGGAGCAAACAGG
rnacentral:rRNA from 1 species